rnacentral:rRNA from 1 species
GACGAACCGUGCGAACGUUGUUCGGAAUCACUGGGCUUAAAGGGCGCGUAGGCGGACUGCCAAGUCCGGGGUGAAAUCCUCCAGCUCAACUGGAGAACGGCCCCGGAUACUGGCGGUCUCGAGGAGGGUAGGGGCAAGCGGAACUAUGGGUGGAGCGGUGAAAUGCGUUGAUAUCCAUAGGAACUCCGGUGGCGAAGGCGGCUUGCUGGACCCUUUCUGACGCUGAGGCGCGAAAGCCAGGGGAGCAAACGGG